rnacentral:rRNA from 1 species
AGAGCGAACGCUGGCGGCAGGCCUAACACAUGCAAGUCGAACGGACCCUUCGGGGUUAGUGGCGGACGGGUGAGUAACACGUGGGAACGUGCCUUUUGGUUCGGAAUAGCUCCUGGAGACGGGUGGUAAUGCCGAAUGUGCCCUUCGGGGGAAAGAUUUAUCGCCAUUAGAGCGGCCCGCGUCUGAUUAGCUAGUUGGUGAGGUAAUGGCUCACCAAGGCGACGAUCAGUAGCUGGUCUGAGAGGAUGACCAGCCACAUUGGGACUGAGACACGGCCCAAACUCCUACGGGAGCAGCAGUGGGAAUCUGCGCAAUGGG